rnacentral:rRNA from 1 species
UACGGAGGGGGCUAGCGUUGUUCGGAAUUACUGGGCGUAAAGCGCACGUAGGCCGGCUGUUAAGUCGGGGGUGAAAUCCUGGGGCUCAACCCCAGAACUGCCCUCGAUACUGGCAGCCUAGAGGACGGAAGAGGCUAGUGGAAUGGCGAGUGUAGAGGUGAAAUUCGUAGAUAUUCGCCGGAACACAAGUGGCGAAGGCGACUAGCUGGUCCGUUUCUGACGCUGAGGUGCGAAAGCGUGGGGAGCAAACAGG